UCCAGAGAUUGCAAUACAAAAACUGGAAUCAGUUAAUUAUAAAUCAUUUCUUCUACUGUCUCUUUCAAUUUUUUUACUGUCCGUUUUCAUUCAUUUUGCCUCUACAUGUUCCUUUUAUGCCAUCAGAGAAAAUAGAUACCCGACGCAAUAAGAAGAAAAACAAUGACUGGACACAUUCAUUUAAUCAUGAUAGACUAUCUACUACAAUCACAUAAUGUCAUGCCUGAUAUUAACAGAUCGAUUGGUCUGUUAUCUAGUCAAUCAAAUGAA